rnacentral:rRNA from 1 species
AUUGAACGCUGGCGGCAGGCUUAACACAUGCAAGUCGAGCGGAGAUGAGGUGCUUGCACCUUAUCUUAGCGGCGGACGGGUGAGUAAUGCUUAGGAAUCUGCCUAUUAGUGGGGUACAACCUUCCGAAAGGAAUGCUAAUACCGCCUACGUCCUACGGGAGAAAGCAGAGGAUCUUCGGACCUUGCGCUAAUAGAUGAGCCUAAGUCGGAUGAGCUAGUUGGUGGGGUAAAGGCCUACCAAGGCGACGAUCUGUAGCGGGUCUGAGAGGAUGAUCCGCCACACUGGGACUGAGACACGGCCCAGACUCCUACGGGAGGCAGCAGUGGGGAAUAUUGGACAAUGGGGGGAACCCUGAUCCAGCCAUGCCGCGUGUGUGAAGAAGGCCUUAUGGUUGUAAAGCACUUUAAGCGAGGAGGAGGCUACUGAGACUAAUACUCUUGGAUAGUGGACGUUACUCGCAGAAUAAGCACCGGCUAACUCUGUGCCAGCCGCCGCGGUAA